rnacentral:rRNA from 1 species
CCCCUAGAUGUUCUGGGCCGCACGCGCGCUACACUGAACAGUUCAACAAGUCUUAACCUUGGCCGAUAGGUCUGGGUAAUCUUUGAACGCUGUUCGUGAUUGGGAUAGACCUUUGCAAUUAUGGGUCUUCAACGAGGAAUUCCUAGUAAACGCAAGUCAUCAGCUUGCAUUGAUUACGUCCCUGCCCUUUGUACACACCGCCCGUCACACCUACCGAUUGAAUGGUCCGGUGAAAUCUCGGGACGGCGGCUCGGUCGCUUGCGUCCGACUGCUGAAACUUGAUUAAACCAUAUCAUUUAGAGGAAGGUGAAGUCGUAACA